UGUAUGGUUCUUUUUAGAACCACAAAGUGGCACAGGAAGGGUUUG
rfam:Taeniopygia guttata chromosome 1A, whole genome shotgun sequence.